AUAAAAGUUUUCAUGCUGGGCAUGAUUGAUGCCCAGCAACUAAAAAACAAAAAUGCGUCAAAAUGUGACUCUAAAUCGAACGGUCAAGAAGGAAAAGAUCGUAUAAAAAAUUUUACCAUGAUUGAACAGUAUGAACGUUAUAAACGUACAAUAAUAUGAACGUGCAAUAAUAUGAACAUUUAAAAUUUUUUAUGAUUCUGGACAAAUCAGUGGUAAUUGAGAGCUAGAAAAAUAUUGCAUCGCGAUUUGGCUUAAAUGCAGAUUUAUAUCCCGUAGUGAAAGAUUGUAUUGCUCAGAUUAUAGUAUGAUUGCAGACAAACCACAGAUAACUGAGUAUUACUAAAAUGCAGAAUCAUGAUUUGACUUGCGGUUGCUAAUUUAUAUCGUGUAGGUAUGGAUUGCACUUCUCGCAAUCAGUUAAAAGAACAUGUAUCAUCAUGUGAUCUAGAACGAACCAAAGGUAUCACUCCGGGUAUCAGUGAUUUAGAACAAGCCAAAGUGUGCUAUCGAGAUGUAUUAUUACAAUUUGACUCGUUACAUAUUUAUAUAAGAUAGCUGUGUAAAUAAUUCAGGAUAAUUCGAAGAUAAUUAAAUAUUAUUGAGACAUGAGAUAUGGCUAAGCGAUUUGACUAGGGACUGCUAAUUUAUAUUGGAUUACAAGCAAUUAAGUUUCCCAGACAGAUAAGUUGCAAUUUUUUUCUACUAAUACAUAUAAUAUGUUGAAAUAUAUAUCAUAAUUUGAUAAAAUUUUAAAAA